rnacentral:rRNA from 1 species
UACGUAGGCAGCGAGCGUUGUUCGGAGUUACUGGGCGUAAAGGGUGUGUAGGCGGUUGUUUAAGUUUGGUGUGAAAUCUCCCGGCUCAACUGGGAGGGUGCGCCGAAUACUGAAUGACUUGGAGUGCGGGAGAGGAAAGUGGAAUUCCUGGUGUAGCGGUGAAAUGCGUAGAUAUCAGGAGGAACACCUGUGGUGUAGACAGCUUACUGGACCAUUUCUGACGCUGAGACACGAAAGCGUGGGUAGCAAACAGG